UGGCGGCCGUAGCGCGGUGGUCCCACCUGACCCCAUGCCGAACUCAGAAGUGAAACGCCGUAGCGCCGAUGGUAGUGUGGGGUCUCCCCAUGCGAGAGUAGGAAACUGCCAGGCA
rnacentral:rRNA from 2 species